AGACAUGCAAGUCGAACGAACGACCUCGGGCUUGCCCGGGGAAGUGAGUGGCGGACGGCUGAGUAACGCGUGGGUGACCUGUCCAGAAGUGGGGAAUAACUGCCCGAAAGGGUGGCUAAUACCGCAUGUGGUCACGAAUUCAUUUUCGUGAUCAAAGCCUUCGGGCGCUUUUGGAGGGGCCCGCGUUCGAUUAGCUCGUUGGUGAGGUAACGGCUCACCAAGGCGACGAUCGAUAGGUGGUCUGAGAGGAUGAUCACCCAGACUGGGACUGAGACACGGCCCAGACUCCUACGGGAGGCAGCAGUCGGGAAUUUUGCUCAAUGGGGGAAACCCUGAAGCAGCAACGCCGCGUGAGGGAUGAAGGCCUUCGGGUUGUAAACCUCUUUUCUCAGGGACGAUAAUGACGGUACCUGAGGAAUAAGCCACGGCUAACUACGUGCCAGCAGCCGCGGUAAUACGUAGGUGGCAAGCGUUGUCCGGAUUUACUGGGCGUAAAGAGCGCGCAGGCGGUCAAGUCAGUCGAAUGUGAAAGCCCCCGGCUCAACUGGGGAAGGUCAUCCGAUACUGCUUGACUUGAAGGUAGGAGAGGGAAGUGGAAUUUCAGGUGUAGUGGUGAAAUGCGUAGAUAUCUGAAGGAACACCAGUGGCGAAGGCGACUUUCUGGCCUAUUCUUGACGCUGAGGCGCGAAAGCUAGGGGAGCGAACGGGAUUAGAUACCCCGGUAGUCCUAGCCGUAAACGAUGAACACUAGAUGUUGGUGGUAUCACCCCCGCCAGUGUCGCAGCU
rnacentral:rRNA from 1 species